AGCGAACGCUGGCGGCAGGCUUAACACAUGCGAGUCGAGCGGGCAUCCUUGUGGUGUCCGCGGCAGACGGGUGAGUAACGCGUGGGAACGUGCCCUUCGGUUCGGAAUAACUCAGGGAAACUUGAGCUAAUACCGGAUACGCCCUUUUGGGGAAAGGUUUACUGCCGAAGGAUCGGCCCGCGUCUGAUUAGCUAGUUGGUGAGGUUAUGGCUCACCAAGGCGACGAUCAGAAGCUGGUCUGAGAGGAUGAUCAGCCACACUGGGACUGAGACACGGCCCAGACUCCUACGGGAGGCAGCAGUGGGAAUAUUGGACAAUGGGGGCAACCCUGAUCCAGCCAUGCCGCGUGAGUGAUGACGGCCUUAGGGUUGUAAAGCUCUUUUCUCCGGGACGAUAAUGACGGUACCGGAGGAAUAAGCCCCGGCGAACUGCGU
rnacentral:rRNA from 1 species